rnacentral:misc_RNA from 1 species
UUUUUAUUUUAUUUUUGCACCGCUCUCAUUGUUCUUCCGGUCCCUCUUCUAUCCGAUCUCUAGUCACGCCCUUACAAUCGAUCUCUUUCAUCCGGUCCCUCUCCCUCCAUUUUCUUUCGGUGCACAUCGAAAAUUGAGAUAACAUUAAAUUUCCCGCUAACUGAUGCGCCGUUUAGGGUCUCGCAAGCAUUUAAUGCUCAAGUCUGUAUAAGUAGGGGAGGGGUUAGGUUGUCAUUCUUAUAUUUCCACUCAUUCUCUCCCCUCGUUCUCUCAGAUCUCCAGCGAGGGUUCUCCUUUGUUCUUUGCUUUUCCGGCUACAAUUCUUCACUUAGGUAUUCUUUUGAUCUUUUUCCGAUCACAUUCCCUUUGAUUUCUUGAAAAUGAGCGGCACUGACGAUCAGAGAGUUGCAAGCCCACUUUCGAUUCACGUUUCUUGGUUCUCUGAAGAAGAUGAGAUAGCCGGACCGAGCGGGCGACCUAAAGUUGUUACAGCUACCGUCCAGCCCGCCGGGUCGAGCCGACAGCAGGCUCCGGUUGCGAGGAAGGAGACUAUACUUGUAAACGAGCUCUCCUCAGUCCUUGGGAUGUCCGAUCUCGAACUAAUAAGCCAGGAGUUCAAUCUUCCAACUGACUCAUUCGAGCUCAUUUGAUGUCACAGGGAUCUUUAAGCCGAUCACUUCUUCGAGGAGGUAGAUCUGAUUAUAGUGUAUGAAGAACAAUUGAAGGCCAGGCUGCUGUUUCCUCUAGAGCAAUUUUACAAGGAUGUUCUAAAGUACUACCGAGUUUGCGUCACCCAAGUACAUCCGAACUCUUAGCGAACUCUGAUGGCCUUCAGAGGAUUAUGCCGAGCUAAAGGACUCAAGCCCAUAGUGAAGGUAUUUGUUGAACGACACAGACUUGCGCAGCGAAAAGAUGAUAAAUUUUGGUUCUUCCAAGCAAAGCCGAACUGUGGGCUCUUCACUGAUCUUCCAUCCUCGCUAAAAAAUUAGAAUGAGUGAUUCUUCAUCCUCCGAAGUAAAGAUCCCCGUGGCUUCGAGGGGAUCCCACGAAGUUGAAAUUAUUUGGCCGAAAGGCCUGAGAAAAAGAUCUUCCUAAAUGAUGUUGAGAACACCAUGGUGAAGGGCUUAAGAGCCAUGCGGUCUCUUAUAGGUAUUCGUGCUUGGAUGUGAUCAUGGCCGAACUGAAGUGGUGAAUAAUGAACGUGAUCGUCCAUGAGAACAUUCAACUACAACUCUCUGAUCUCGGCCCCGGGAUAGGUAAAAUCUAGAUCUUUAGUCUUUUAGUCCUAGCGAUCUCACUAACUUAUUUUUCUAUGCAGACAUAGCAAGAGGCGACACUGAAACUCGGAAGCGGAAGGAGCUCGCCAAGAAGGUAUUAGAGAUGAAAGAGGCUACUGUUGCUGCUGAGGCCCCAGAAACGGGCUCGGGUAGAAGUGACAAGCUCCCCAGUCCGAACUCAAGAGCAACCAGUUCAGGAAAUGCCGGUCCCAACUGUGGAGCCUUCCACUCAACUCGCCGAGCCUCCUUCCCAACUCUCGGUCAUCUCCGCUUCAGAAGGCAGAUUCUCAGGGCAGACAGUCAUGUCUGUGCAACCACGCUCCAGAGGUGCCCAAAUAUUGCUUCAAUCACUGGAUAGGAGCAGGUCGGUGCUAGAUAACAUUGACUUGGCUAAAGUUGUGGGCGCCACGAUCUGCUCUGCUGAGGACUGGACUCGAAUGGGCCCAAACAGCAUCGAGGAUCUCCUCAACCAUUCGAUGAGCUUGAGCUUGGAUGCUAUGGCGACCCAGCACAUGAUCAGAGAGAAGGUCCACUUCCCGAGGAGGGAGAUGUCAAAGGUGGUCAAUGGGGCAAUGUCCGCUAAGAGCCAGCUCUCCGCUGCUAAUGUCCGAAUUUUGGAGCUUGAGGAGCAAGUGAGGUCUUCUGAAGAACAAACAACUCGACUACGGAAGGAACUCGAGGAUGCUCAAGCUAGUCAAGCUACCAACCUAGCUAAAUUUUUCGAGGAGAUUAAGGCGAAAGAGAAUGAGGCCUUGGAGAGAGAAGCUGGCACUUAUGUGCAGGCCCACAGUGAUCUCCUUGCCGAGCUGAUCAAACGUUAUCCUAAAGAAGACUUCACCUGGCUCGAGAAGCUCACCCCGGGUGUUGAAGCUGAGAGUGAGGACGAACUAGAGGGAGAGGAGAGAGCGGACAAUGAAAAUGUAACUGGAGAUCGGGCUGGGGAAGACCUGCCCGCUGAAUGAUUGUAAAAGAGUUUUUAAGAAAUGAAUAAUAUGUCUCCUUUUGUAUUACCACUUUAUACUUCCUUUAUUAAAAGUGCUUACAUCAGAACUAAUUAAGAUCGGAUAACCGAACACAAGACUAGACAGGACAGUAAUUGAAAUCUUGAGAUAUUUGAACACAAUUAACCCAUUGAGAUCGGAAAACAAUUGAAUAUAACCGCACGUAAGAUCGGAUUGCUUGGACACGGGAGAUCAUGCGUUAAAGAGAUCGGAAAUCAAUCGAGCCUAAAUGAGCAUGAAAUCGGAUAAUUCAGAGACCGGAUAUCAAGCAAAACUUGGAAAACAAUUUGGAACAUUGUUGGGUUUUGGAGGGGUGACUUUUAAUCGAACCAUGAUCAAAGCCACUUACUGAGAUCGGUAAUGUUUAGAUCGGAACUCUGUUCAAGAAUGACAUUUUCAUGAAAUUAAAACUGUAUUAUAACUUAUGGAGGGAAAACAAUCAUAUAUUGAUUAUACAAAUUGUAAAUUUAAUGGCCGGCAAAAAUAUAGUGUCUACAUUCAUGAUUUGCAUCUAUGGAUUAUAAGUCGCUUAAAAGAAAAAGAAAAUCCUUUUUGUGUAGAUUCUGAAGCUACUACUCCAGCAAAGGAGAUUGUUAUUGCCAUGGCAGCUCGAGAAUCUGUUAGUUCCAAGGAACUUACUCUAGAAGGGAUGGGUCUGAGUGCUGUCCCAUCAGAAGUAUGGGAUUCAGGUGAAGUUGUAAAAGUCAAUCUUUCUAGGAAUUCUAUCCAAGAGCUGCCUGUUGAACUUUCUUCAUGUGUUUCCCUCCAGAUUUUGAUUUUAUCCAGGAACAAGAU